GAGUUUGAUCGUGGCUCAGAUUGAACGCUGGCGGCAUGCCUUACACAUGCAAGUCGAACGGUAACAGGUCUUCGGACGCUGACGAGUGGCGAACGGGUGAGUAAUACAUCGGAACGUGCCCAGUCGUGGGGGAUAACUACUCGAAAGAGUAGCUAAUACCGCAUACGAUCUGAGGAUGAAAGCGGGGGACCUUCGGGCCUCGCGCGAUUGGAGCGGCCGAUGGCAGAUUAGGUAGUUGGUGGGAUAAAAGCUUACCAAGCCGACGAUCUGUAGCUGGUCUGAGAGGACGACCAGCCACACUGGGACUGAGACACGGCCCAGACUCCUACGGGAGGCAGCAGUGGGGAAUUUUGGACAAUGGGCGAAAGCCUGAUCCAGCAAUGCCGCGUGCAGGAUGAAGGCCUUCGGUUGUAACG
rnacentral:rRNA from 1 species